rnacentral:rRNA from 1 species
CACACUGGCACUGCGACACGGGCCAGACUCCUACGGGAGGCAGCAGUAAGGAAUAUUGCGCAAUGGGCGACAGCCUGACGCAGCGACGCCGCGUGGGGGAUGAAGGUCUUCGGAUUGUAAACCCCUUUCGGGAGGGAAGAUGGAACGGGCAACCGUUCGGACGGUACCUCCAGAAGCAGCCACGGCUAACUUCGUGCCAGCCGCCGCCGUAACAC